GAUGAACGCCGGCGGCGUGCUUAACACAUGCAAGUCGAGCGAGUGAGUUCUUCGGAACGAUCUAGCGGCGGACGGGUGAGUAACACGUGGGCAACCUGCCUCAUAGAGGGGAUUAGCCUCCCGAAAGGGAGAUUAAUACCGCAUAACAUCGUUGUAGGGCAUCCUUCGAUGAUCAAAGGAGCAAUCCGCUAUGAGAUGGGCCCGCGGCGCAUUAGCUAGUUGGUGAGGUAACGGCUCACCAAGGCGACGAUGCGUAGCCGACCUGAGAGGGUGAUCGGCCACAUUGGGACUGAGACCCGGCCCAGACUCCUACGGGAGGCAGCAGUGGGGAAUAUAGCACAAUGGGGGAAACCCUGAUGCAGCAACGCCGCGUGAGUGAUGACGGCCUUCGGGUUGUAAAGCUCUGUCUUUGGGGACGAUAAUGACGGUACCCAAGGAGGAAGUCACGGCUAACUACGUGCCAGCAGCCGCCGUAA
rnacentral:rRNA from 1 species